rnacentral:rRNA from 1 species
GAUGAACGCUGGCGGCGUGCCUAAUACAUGCAAGUCGAGCGAACGGACGAGAAGCUUGCUUCUCUGAUGUUAGCGGCGGACGGGUGAGUAACACGUGGAUAACCUACCUAUAAGACUGGGAUAACUUCGGGAAACCGGAGCUAAUACCGGAUAAUAUUUUGAACCGCAUGGUUCAAAAGUGAAAGACGGUCUUGCUGUCACUUAUAGAUGGAUCCGCGCUGCAUUAGCUAGUUGGUAAGGUACGGCUUACCAAGGCAACGAUGCAUAGCCGACCUGAGAGGGUGGUCGGCCACACUGGAGCUGAGACACGGUCCAGACUCCUACGGGAGGCAGCAGUAGGGAAUCUUCCGCAAAGGGCGAAAGCCUGACGGAGCAACGCCGCGUGAGUGAUGAAGGUCUUCGGAUCGUAAAACUCUGUUAUUAGGGAAGAACAUAUGUGUAAGUAACUGUGCACAUCUUGACGGUACCUAAUCAGAAAGCCACGGCUAACUACGUG